rnacentral:pre_miRNA from 1 species
GAUGAGCAGGGGAGAUGAGCUUGAAAGUAGAGUUGGUUGUUGACAGAAGAUAGAGAGCACAAAACCAACACAAGCAAUAGGCUUUCAUGCUUCUGGAGGAUAUGUGCUCUCUAUACUUCUGCCACCAUGCCCUUAGAAGCACUCUAUUUCUAUUCCCUCUCUUCCCUUCCCUCUC